rnacentral:rRNA from 1 species
UACGAAGGGGGCUAGCGUUGCUCGGAAUCACUGGGCGUAAAGCGCACGUAGGCGGCUUGUUAAGUCAGGGGUGAAAUCCUGGAGCUCAACUCCAGAACUGCCUUUGAUACUGGCAAGCUUGGAGUCCGGGAGAGGUGAGUGGAACUGCGAGUGUAGAGGUGAAAUUCGUAGAUAUUCGCAAGAACACCAGUGGCGAAGGCGGCGAUCUGGGAAGAUACUGACGCUGAGGUGCGAAAGCGUGGGGAGCAAACAGG